GCUGAAUCUGAGGACUAUUUCACAGGUACAUCACACAGCGUCUGGUCCUGUAGCUCUCAGGAGGGCACAACUCCCAGGAUCGACUCCAGGGCACCAAGGGAGAACACAAGACAAUGUUCGCCAGCAGCCAUAACACGAACCGUGACCCUGCAUCACAGCCGUGGUCCUGAGCACUGCCUGGCAGAAGCCAACACGAAACAUUGCUGACACAGAGGACAGUCAGGCAUACGAAUCUAGAUGGGGAAGACACAAUGCAAUCCUUCAGAGCACCAGCUCUGCCAGUGAGGACAGAAGAGAGAAGCCUGCUCCUAUGCAGGGUGGCAGGCCCAGCCAUGUCCAGUAGGCUUCUUCUGGACUUCGCGUUGUCUUCCUCCACAAGGAGCAUGAUGAAGACACAGACAUCUCUUCACUUGAGAGCUGAAAGUGUAUCCAUGGCCUGCCAGCUCCACCAAACGCAGGUGCAAGAAGCGAGCCAGUGAAGCAAGCCUUCUCAUCCGCGCACGGGGAGAAGCGGAGCCCCACCGGGCCGCGGUGGUGGCAGAGGAGCGGACCUCGGGCGCCGCACGGGCUCAGCACCGCGGACAGCGCCCGACCCGCCGCGUGGCCGUGUCCCCGCGUGUGCGCGGAGCAAAGGGGCUUCAAUCUGAAGUCUCCACUGAUCUUUCC
rnacentral:lncRNA from 1 species